UGUAGCGUACCUACUAGCCUACGACGGGUACGGGUUGUGAGAGCAAGAGCCCGGAGAUGGAUUCUGAGACACGAAUCCAGGCCCUACGGGGUGCAGCAGGCGCGAAAACUUUACAAUGCCGGCAACGGCGAUAAGGGGACCUCGAGUGCCAGGUUACAAAUCUGGCUGUCGUGAUGCCUAAAAAGCAUUGCAUAGCAAGGGCCGGGCAAGACCGGUGCCAGCCGCCGCGAUAACACCGGCGGCUCGAGUGGUAACCGUUAUUAUUGGGUCUAAAGGGUCUGUAGCCGGCCGGAUAAGUCUCUUGAGAAAUCCAGCAGCUCAACUGUUGGGCUUUCAGGAGAUACUGUUCGGCUCGAGGCCGGGAGAGGUGAGAGGUACUUCAGGGGUAGGGGUGAAAUCUUGUAAUCCUUGAAGGACCACCAGUGGCGAAGGCGUCUCACCAGAACGGACCUGACGGCAAGGGACGAAAGCUAGGGGCACGAACCGGAUUAGAUACCCGGGUAGUCCUAGCCGUAAACGAUACUCGCUAGGUGUCGGCCACGGUGCGACCGUUGUCGGUGCCGUAGGGAAGCCGUGAAGCGAGC
rnacentral:rRNA from 1 species